rnacentral:rRNA from 1 species
AACGCACAUUGCGCCUUUUGGUAUUCCGAGAGGCACGUCCGUUCGAGCGUCAGUGAAAACCCUUCCGGGCCCGCUUUGCUGCGCGGCCACGGGACCCUGGCGAGGGGAUGUCGACCGUCCCGCGCCCCUUCACGGGGGUGCAGGCAUGGUUAUCCCCCGCUUAAACGCGGAGAAAGCUAGCGGGCUAAUGGUCACGACCGCGGAGACUAGUAAAUUAAACCUGUCAUCGAAGGUAAGGCCGGCGCCCCGCCUCUUAAAACCACGCGGCACUCCGGUGCCACCUGACUCUUGACCUCGAAUCGGAUGAGGAUACCCGCUGAACUUAA